UACGUAGGGGGCUAGCGUUGUCCGGAUUUAUUGGGCGUAAAGAGCGUGUAGGCGGCCAGGUAGGUCUGGUGUGAAAACUCGAGGCUUAACCUCGAGAUGUCAUCGGAAACCAUCUGGCUAGAGUCCGGAAGAGGAGAGUGGAAUUCCUGGUGUAGCGGUGAAAUGCGCAGAUAUCGGGAAGAACACCUAUGGCGAAGGCAGCUCUCUGGGACGGUACUGACGCUGAGACGCGAAAGCGUGGGGAGCGAACAGG
rnacentral:rRNA from 1 species